rnacentral:tRNA from 1 species
GUUCCUGCAGCGCAAUGGACAGCGCGUUGAACUUCUAAUCCAAAGGUCGUGAGUACAAAUCCCACCUGGGAUG